CCAGCUUGCAGGUGGCAGAUAAUGAGACUUCUCAGCCUCCAUAAUCAUAUAAUGAGAAUGAAGACUUUUAUGAUGAGGCCACUUCUACUAAAUGAAUAUUAAACUGCAAACUCUCUGCAUGAUUGGAGAGGGUAAAGGGCCAGAGGAGCAGUUUCACAAGCACCAUGUCUGCCACACACAGGUAGCAAAUACCACUGGAAGGUCCAAGAUCCAGGGACCCACAUCUGCUAAGGGCUUUCAUGCCGUGUCAUCCCAUGAGGAAAGGCAGAGGGAUCCUGUUCUCUGCAAAUGCAAACAGUUCUUUUAUUACAAGGCUUUUUCAAGGGGAAGAGAAAACUCAUUUGGCAGAUAAUGUCAACCUUUUAAAAAAUCAAGUGUGUUAA
rnacentral:lncRNA from 1 species